GAUUGUGGGGAGACUUACUACCUGUGCUCUAGCAACGUGUGUAUCCAGGAGGAGUAGCUGUGUGACACGGAGAACGACUGCGGCAACAACGAGGAUGAAGUCGGCUGCCCUACUGACUGUUCUGGGGCUCAUCAGUUUAAAUGCGGGAUGCGAGACAGCUGCAUCGCCAUCGAAUACCGUUGUGAUGGAGAGAACGACUGUGUAGAUGGUUCUGAAGAAGCAGGCUGUGCCACCCGGACCUGCCUCCAGGGUGAACUCAAGUGUUCUAACAACGUCUGUGUGGAGAUAUCCAAACUGUGUAACGGACACAACGGCUGUGGCAACGGAUGGGACGAGGACCCUACUCACUGUGAGAUGUGAAGACGUCACGAGACCUUGAACUUUCGGGUCAUGUCAGGCGCAUUUGUGCCAAAGGUCAAGGCGAGGCGACUGGUCCAGUGUAG